rnacentral:rRNA from 1 species
AUACGGAGGAUGCAAGCGUUAUCCGGAUUUAUUGGGUUUAAAGGGUGCGUAGGCGGUUUGCUAAGCGGGAGGUGAAAUGCCGGCGCUCAACGUCGGAAGUGCCUCCCGAACUGGUGGACUGGAAUGACUCUGCCGUGGGAGGAAUGUGUAGUGUAGCGGUGAAAUGCUUAGAGAUUACACAGAACACCGAUUGCGAAGGCUUCGUACGAAGGGUUGAAAGACGCUGAGGCACGAAAGCGUGGGGAUCAAACAGGAUUAGAGUCCCUGGUAGUCCACGCAGUAAAAGAUGAUGGCUAGACGCUGGUUUUGGCGGAUCAGUGGCCAAGCGAAAGCGAUAAGCCACCCACCUGGGGAGUACGACCGCAAGGUGGAAACUCAAAUGAAUUGGCGGGG